CUGAGUGAACUAAAAGAAAGAUACAAGGAGGAGUUCAAGAAGAAGAUUCGGGGUGAACAGCAGAGGAGGAAGGAGGUUGAGGAAGAUAUAAAGGCCCUGAAACAGGAGCUGGAAAACAAGAUAAACCAGUUACAAAAAGCCAAAGAAGAACCUGAGGAGGCUGUGAAAGAAUGUGACAUCUCUGAAGAUGAACAUUUGGUGCCAACAGAACCAACCAAAGCUCUGGACAAUUAAUAAAGUACAGUUACAAAUAAUGAUGUCACGGGCAAAAAAAUAGGUCCCCUGAAUUUUAUUUAACUGAUCUCUGUUUAAUUGCUUACACACACACACACACACACACACACACACACACAACACACACACACACACACACACACACACACACACACACACACACACACACAGUGAGGUUAUAAAUUUGAUGUCGGUAAUUCAAUAUUUCUUUUACAUGAUUGUUUAUUGAAUCAAUUUCAGAAUUGUUGAAGGCUACAGUUUUUUCUUACUGUGAAUUUGUAUUACUGGACAAUCUAUGAAGUAAUGUAAUACUGUGACAGCAGGAGGAUUUCAAUGCAGAUGUUUGUACUUUAAUUUCUGAUGUUUCACGUAUAUGUUUACUUAAAUGCCACUGGCCUUUAUCAUACUCACAUUUAGUUUUGUGCUUCAUUCACUAAUUAUUAUACUAGUGUAACAGUCACAUAUGAAACUAUUCUGUCAUUAUUCUGACUGUGUGACUCUGUAUUAUUAUUAAUAUUAUUAUUAUUGUUUUAUAGCUGAAAGAUUGGAUAUACAUUUAAUAUUCUUUGUUAAGAGUAUUUUCUGUUCAGUUUGGACUAUUUACUUUUAUCUUUUAUAGCUCUUGAUAAGUAGGUCUCUUCUGCUGAAACUGUUAGCACAGAAAUGUACCUUAUCUUUGAAAGAGCAUUUGCACAUUGUUUGUCCUAAGGCCUGAUCCCUGUCUUUCAUACAAACUUGUUUCCCUGGAAAAUAAUUUCUUGAAAAAAAGUGUGUUUCCUAGUAAUAACCAGUUGAUGGUACAGUGCACACAUAGUGCAGCUGUUUGUCUGUUUACCACAAAUCUGUCUGAUUGUUUGCUCCCAAAUACAACUUCAGUUACCAAAUAAAACCAUGUUCUCUUCAG